GAUGAAGAACGUAGCGAAAUGCGAUACUUGGUGUGAAUUGCAGAAUCCCGUGAACCAUCGAGUCUUUGAACGCAAGUUGCGCCCGAAGCCAUUAGGCCGAGGGCACGCCUGCCUGGGCGUCACACGUCGUUGCCCCCCCAUCUACUCCUUCGGGAUUGCGGGGGGCGGAUGAUGGCCUCCCGUGCGCCUCGUCGCGCGGUUGGCAUAAAUGCCAAGUCCUCGGCGACGCACGCCACGACAAUCGGUGGUUGCGAAACCUCGGUUGCCCGUCGUGUGCGGUCGUCGCGCAUCGAGGGCUCGAAAAAAUUGCCGGGUUCCGGCUCGGCUUUCAACGCGACCCCAGGUCAGGCGGGGUUACCCGCUGAAUUUAAGCAUAUCAAUAAGCGA
rnacentral:misc_RNA from 1 species